UUGAUGUUUGUUAAUCAAUCUCCCAUAGUUCAGACUCUGCAGGAUGUUGUUUCUGGCUGGACUCUUGGGUUUGCUGGUGUUCUGGAUGAAAGGCUCCCAUGGACAAGUUUCGGUAACUGAGUCCCCAGCCUUCUUGUCUGGGUUCCCAGGAGAGAGGAUCGCCAUCACCUGCAAGACCAGUAAGAGUAUAAUUGAAAGCCAAGGCACCAGCUCCAUGCACUGGUACCAACAAAAGCCUGGCCAAGUCCCAAGGUUACUCAUUCACCAUGCUUCCAUGGUGGCCCCUGGGGUCCCCACACGGUUCAGUGGCACUGGGUCUGGGACAGAUUUCACAUUUAUAAUCAGUAGUGUGGAGGCGGAAGAUGCUGCUGGUUAUUACUGUCAGCAGGGCCAUAAUGUUCCUUAUCCACAGUUCUUUAACCCAGAUCUAAAACGUUCCUAG